GUUUGCCAGAUGUUUGAACUCUGGUGAACUGCUGUUCGCUUGUCAGGCUGGCAAUGAGGAGCGAACAAAUACCGCGCUACUCAGCGUCUUCCCCCCUGAGCUGCCAGAGAAUUUCAAACCGCUUCAAAUGCUGGAGCCAAGGGAUCUGCUGAGAAAGAAUAAGGUAUGUUCCUAAUGAGAUCAGUGAGCCAUUACUUUACUUGGAAAGCAACCUUAUUUUUUAUUUUGUGCCCUGUGUGUGAGAGAGAGAGAACUGAAGGUUUGGCAUCAGAGGAACCAAGAAAGGAAGAGACAAUAGAGACAGAGAGUGAAAGAGAGAGAGAAAGAGGCCUCAACAGGACAACUCUUUCAUGGAUUUCCUCUCUUCCUUUAGGCACUGAUAAGCAGAGGAGGGAAUGGGAUGGAUUAACAAAUGGAACGAAUCUUUCACACUUCUGACACAGGUUAAUUUUGUUUCUUGUUCUUCACUGGCUUACUGCUGUCUACUUAAAAGUAUGGCGUCUACCUACUGGUCUUUGUGAGUGUCAUGGCAACUAGAAUUAUUGAAUCCAUUUAGAAUACCAUGGAAUCAUAGAAAUUAGAAAAUGCCUUUGAUAUAUUUCUGAGUGCUUUGUCUAAUCCAUUUCCAAAUGACUCAUAGGAUGGGACUAACUAUUUCCUGAGGACACUAUUUCAUGCUCUAACAGAUCUCACCAUUACAAGUGUUUUCCUGAUAUUCAGCCUGUUUUAAAUUUUCCCUUAACUAAUUUAAUCCCUUCGAUCAUCCUAAACAAUUCCUCUCUCCCCUUGAUCUUUAACUUUUUCAAAUAUAUGAAGACACCAUAAGAACCAAAUUUUGAUAUCCAUUAGACUGCUGUAAAUCUGGAGUAACUAAAGUGAGUAAC
rnacentral:lncRNA from 1 species